UGAACAUUAACAUACAAACUGAAACAUUCGUACUCACAGGAGUAGCUGCAUCAGGAGGUGGAGGUGGAGCGAAUAGCCUAGAUGUUGGAGGCAUCCCCUGGGCGACGCCAAGACUUUGCAUAUACUGAAGAAUCUCCGUGAACCGCUGGUGCUCUGUUUCCCGCUCGGUUGCCAUCCUCACCGUCAACUUUGCCUACUGUCAGGAUCAAACACUAGGCAAAAUGUAAUUUUGCCGAGUGUCUAACAAAACACUCGGCAAAGCCUAACGGCGGGUUGGGUAGCGUCCGUAUUUACAGUAGCUUUGCCGAGUGCCUAACUUUGUCUUGUGCCGGACACUAGGCAAAGUCUAGUUUGCCGAGUGCCUACCUUUGCUGAGUGUCUGGCACUAGGCAAACCAACAAUUUGCCGUGUGCCCGAUAAAUUGCACUAGGCAAAGCGUUCGACACUCGGCAGAGAGUGCCUCUCUGGUAGUGACAGGACCCCCUUUGUAAAUCUUCUAGGUGUGUUGUUGGCCUGGUUGUCCAAGACAGUGGUUUUUCUCUUGGAAAUUGCUUUCUGCAGACGUUUUGUGUUCCCAUUGUCAACUUGAUUGAUAUUUGGUACGUAUUGUGGUCAUGAGUUGG
rnacentral:lncRNA from 1 species